UAGUGAUUGAUGCUCAGAAAACUCAAAGAAUUUGGCGGUUUUAUUCAUUUCUUCAGAGGAAUUUGUCUGGUAAUCGAUAAUCCGCGUUCUAUUUUACGUAAAUAUGGGUUUGAAUAUCGCUGUUUAUGAAUAUUGAUGCUAUUUAAUAUUGUCUGUUGGUUGCAGAGAUUACAAGUCAAGGUUCAGCUUGUUUAUGUUUGUGAUGAAUUACUAUGAUAUAUUGUUGAAGAAUAUUUGAUAGAAUGUUAUGAGAUUGGAUUUGAUAGUAAUUGCUUAUUAGUAUUGGUGCAAUGAAUUGAAUUUAAUAAAAUGU
rnacentral:rRNA from 1 species